AACCCAGCUGAUUUUUCUCAAAAUAAAAAUCAUUAAUGAACAGGCAAACUUUGAGAUUAGAUAAGAGAUUAGGUACAAACUUGGUAAAAUGCACAGACAAUGUUUGAGUUUAAAUCCUUCCGAUUUAAUACCAAAAGGAAAACCUUAAAUAUGAGCUGUUAAAAUAUAAAUGUGUUAAGUAUGUGCAUGCAUGAGGAUGGCUAUAUAUAUAUUAUUGGGGGACAAUUCUGUUCCUGUUUUGUUUCAAUUGAGUCACUAACCUCUGGAAUGAGUGUUUUAUCAUUACAGAUGUGUUAAGUGAAAUUACUUUACAGAAGUCGAUAAUUCUGAGUAAAACUAAUGAAAAGACAAUGCCAAACAUGGGACGAGCUUUAAGAGGAUUGGUUAUCCAGCUCUGUCUGCUACUGGUAAUAAUGACUUGUUUUGUCUUUUAUAACACUGAUUUAAAUCACUCUCUGGAUUAAUAUGUUAAAGAGUGUUUAUAUGAUUGGAUUUGUGAAAUUUAAGUUUGCCGUCCAAAAUGGGUUUAAAAUCCAUGCCUAAAUUUAAAUGAGGGUCUAAAUUUUAACAAGUUAACACUUUGUUGUUUGAAUGGUGAAGGUAAAUAUUUUAGACUUGAUGGCAGAAAAACAGUGACAGAUUGGCUACGUCACUAACCAAAUUAUCCAGAGAGCACCCUCACAUAAAGAAGCCUGGUGGGAAAACAAAGCAGUGAAUCCUGCUUGUGUAAUAUAGUGCAAAAGCUUUAUGUAGUGGUUUAUGUAGAACAGAGAUAAGUUGAACAAAAACGUGUGGAUAGCCCCUUAAUGGAGCAAAUCCAUGACAAGAGGUUUGAAUUAAUUGAAAUAGCACAGCAAAAAAAAUAAUAAUAAUAAAUUUUGUUUGAACAAAACAAUUGUAAUAUGCUCUAUGGAGCUGCUUAUGAACACCUGUCAGGGCUUUUUGAUAAUGUAUACUGUUUCAAUACAGAUUUACAGAAACUGAGGAUGUCUCUUUAAUAAAUAUUUGGGCGUUUAGAACUAAGUAAUAGUAUUGUUCAUUUAGUAAUAGUAUUGGGAAAUCUGUGUGCUCUUUUUUUUAGUUUAUAAUAAUUUUGAGUAAAUUAAUAUCACUGCCAAAUGACAAACAUGAACGAGGGAUUUUAAGACAUUGAUCAAGUAGCUGACCUGUAAGCAUUUAUCACUGACAAAACAGUGAGAACUAAAUUGACUUUAUACUAAGUAUUGAGGAUUUGCUUCUGAAUGUGUCGCUAAUAUAGUCUGAGUACAGUAAUAUGGUAUGAUAAUUGACAAGAUUUGCAUUUAAAAAAAAGGUAAUAAUAAGGCAAUGAGUAUGGUUAACAGUAAUGUCAUGGUAUAAAAUAAAUACAUGCAUGACAAUAAGUGGAUCGGUUAGUUGUAUUUUAAAAGUUAGACACUUCGAUACUUAAAAUGUAAUUUUAACCAAAUGUGUUAACAAUGACAAGGUUUAUGGUUCAUGUAUGUGUAAACAGCAUGUUAACUAUGAUGACUGCAAAUGGAUUUGCGGUGAAAGUAAAGCUUAAUAAAAGGGCUAUUAAGUAAUAAACUAGGAACUGCUCUAGGUUUUCGAGGAAAUAAUGAUUAUGAUUAUUUUUAUUUUUAAAGAUGGCUCAAUAUUGAUCUUACUUAUUUUUGGUUUGUUUAUUUUUGUGUUUUUAACACCAAGUUUGGAAUGAAAGGGUAAAAUGGAUAUUCAAUCUCUAUAAUUGUACCAUUGAUCGGGAAAAUGAUAGAUUUUCAUAAAAUAAGGGUAUCUCUACUGGGAUUUAGGUUAUAAGCAAUGUCUGUAUUUGGUAUCUGUGAGGUGACUGAGGGUCUGACAUAUGUCAGGAAUGCAAUAACAGUGGUUAUUCAUUUAGCCCGGCUUCCAGAGAAUAAUAUAUAUACGUUUAUUGUAAUGAGUUUAUUUUACUAUAUGACCAAAUUAACUAAAAUUCAUCAUAGUUGUAUAAGAUAUGUUAAAAGAAAACAAAUAAGACAAAUAUCCUUCUUAUGGGUUAUUUUUUUUUUUUUUUUUUUUUUGAAUUGGUUAUAGUGUAUGCGUUUUUCUUUAAUGAUUUGUUAAAUCUGGUUAAUGAAUAUGCAAAUUUAGUCUUAAGGCUGUUGGAUAAAUGUUUGGUUUUAGAGGGUAAGUGUGAAGUAGCUGUAGUAGGAAGAGAGGUAUUUACAAAGAUAUGUUGAUGAAAGUGAGGACACUUUUCCAGGUAGAGGGACACACAGAAUGAUUCACUGGAAAAGACAUUAUGUGAAGAAAGACUAGUGCAAGUGCCGAUAUUGUGGGAUUAAGUAAGUAGAUUAAUGUAUAUGGGAAAUAAGAAUGUAUAUGGGAAGUAUUUUGUACAAAAUAAUGUGUUUAUUACUAGAAAUGUCAGCCAGUACCAGAGAUUUUAAGUAUGCACAUGUUUAAGUUGACCAACAGUCUGCAUUCUUACCAUGCAUCACAACUACACCUGACCUCAUUUAUUAGACCAGAUGUGGGGUAUUAGACCCCACAUUGAUCUAAAACGGGGGACUGAAGGAGUGGAUGCCGAUUUGCCAUAUCCUUCAUACUGAUAUUAAUUAUUUUAUUACAUGAUUUCUUGUUUGACUAUUAAUCAAGUUAUAGCAAGAGUGAAAUGUGUAACCUUAUGUGUGCUGUAUUUCUUCUCCUCAAGAUUAAUGUCCACAUAUUAUGUGUGUGUAUCCAACCGUAAUGAUAAGACACUCGCCAGUGCUAGAAAGCCUUGAAUUUUAGAUAAGUUCUCUGUGUACGUGUGUUAGUAUCUGUCUGUACAGGGAGAAGCUCAGACAGUCCCAGGACAAACGAUCAACUGCCAGUGUCCAGCAUAUCAGAUAUACGUCUUUGGAGAGUUUUAUCUAGGUUUUGGAACCAAUCAGAAUUUUGUUGACUCAUGUAUUGACGCAAUUAGUAUCCUCUGUCAGGGUAUAACUGUGGUUGAUUUUGUAUUGUACUGGGGGCGGCCUGUGAACUCCUUCGAGAGUGUUGAAGCUGACUUCUGCUGAUGAAAUUGCAAACUAUUUUCUUCAAGUAAAAUUAUUAUUAUUAAUUGAACUCA